rnacentral:rRNA from 1 species
AAUGAGCACACGAUGGAUGCCCAGGCGCUGCGUGCCGAUGAAGGACGGGGCAUCGCUCCGAUAAGCCGCGGGGAGCCGCGAGCAGGCUGUGAUCCGCGGAUGUCCGAAUGGGGCAACCCACCCCUGCGGGGGUACGGUCGUAUGACCGGGGGCACCCGGCCAACUGAAACAUCUCAGUAGCCGGAGGAAGAGAGAACUACACCCGUAGUAGUGGCGAACGAACCGGGUUCAGGCCUAAACCCGCGCCGUGGCAAGGCGCCAGCCGUUGCGGCGCGGGGGUUGGAGGGCACGGCCGGCGCGCUGGCGAGCGCCACCCUGACCGCCGGACGCAGGCGAAGCGGUUUGGAACACCGCACCAGAGGGGGUGAGAGUCCCGUAGCCGCGUCUUACCGUCAGGGGCCGUGACCCUGAGUAGGUCCGGGCACGAAGAACCCGGGCUGAAGCCGGGCUGACCACAGUCCAAGGCAAGCUACACGCAGCGACCGAUAGCGCACAGUACCGUGAGGGAACGGUGAAAAGCACCCCGGUGAGGGGAGUGAAAGAGAACCUGAAAUCGUGUGCUUCCACGCCGUGGGAGCCCUGCGGGGUGACCGCGUGCCUUUUGGAGUAUGAUCCGGCGAGUUAUCCUGCGUGGCACGGUUAAGGCAGUGACAGCCGGAGCCGGAGUGAAAGCGAGCCUGCAUGAGGCGUUGGUCGCGCAGGAUAGACGCGAAACCACGUGAGCUACCCAUGGGCAGGCUGAAGCGUCCCUAACAGGACGUGGAGGGCCGCACCGGUGUGGGUUACAAACCGCUCGGAUGACCUGUGGGUAGGGGUGAAAUGCCAAUCGAACGUGGAGAUAGCUCGUUCUCCCCGAAAUGCAUUGAGGUGCAGCCGCGGGUAUGGCGCCGCUGGAGGUAGAGCACUGUUGUUGUGCGGGGGCUUCACCGCUUACCAAGCGACGGCAAACUCCGAAUGCCAGCGCGCGCGCACCGCGAGUGAGACGGCGGGUGCGAAUAUCCGUCGUCGAGAGGGAAACAACCCAGACCGCCAGCUAAGGCCCCUAAAUCACCGCUCAGUGGGAAAGGUUGUGGCGCCGCGUAGACAACCAGGAGGUUGGCUUAGAAGCAGCCAUCCUUGAAAGAGUGCGUAACAGCUCACUGGUCGAGUAGCGCUGCGCCGACGCUUUAACGGGGCAAAGCGGUGUGCCGACGCUGCGGGUUCUCUGCGGAGAACGGUAGGGGAGCGUCGUCCGGGGGGUGAAGCCGGCGCGGAAGCGCCGGUGGACCGCGGACGAGUGCGAAUGCCGGAAUGAGUAACAGAGAAGUGGGGUUGCAAUCCCCACCGCCGAAAGCCUGAGGGUUCCGCCGCACGGAUGCACCGCGGCGGGUUAGUCGGGCCUAAGCCGCAGCCGCAAGGCGCAGGCGAUGGACAACAGGCGCAUAUUCCUGUACCACCGUCGGGUCGCUAGACUGAUGCCGGACGCUGAGGGGGAGUCGCCGCGGCGAGACGAGCGCCGUGCAAGCCGGUAGGGAGCAGGCGGAGGCAAAUCCCCGCCUGCGGUGACCGAGAGGUGAUGCGCAGGCCGGCCCGCAGGGGCAGGCCAAUGGCGAGGCACCUGUGCAGCCGAGAAAUGCCGGCUAGGGAGACCCGCGGUGCCCGUACCGCAAACCGACCCAGGUAGGCUGGUCGAGGAGACCAAGGCGGACGAGUGAGCCCUGGUUAAGGAACUCGGCAAAUUGACCCCGUACCUUCGGAAGAAGGGGUGCUGCGCUAGGGUGAACCCGCACGCCGGGGGAGCGCGAGGCAGCCGCAGGGUCCAGGCCCGGGCGACUGGAUACCAGAACCACAGCUCCCUGCUCAAGCCGGAAGGCGAUGUAUAGGGGGUGAUGCCUGCCCAGUGCCGGAAGGUUAAGGGGAGGCGUGCACGCGCCGAACCGAAGCCCCGGUAAACGGCGGCCGUAACUAUAACGGUCCUAAGGUAGCGAAAUUCCUUGUCGGGUAAGUUCCGACCCGCACGAAAGGCAUCACGAUCUGGGCGCUGUCUCAACCAGGGGCUCGGUGAAAUUGCAGUGGCCGUGAAGAUGCGGCUACCUCAGAGCGGGACAAAAAGACCCCGUGGAGCUUUACUACAACUUGCCAUCGGACGGACGACCGCGAUGCGUAGCAUAGGUGGGAGCCGGCGAACCGCCCCUUGCGGGGGGCGGGGAGGCGUCCGUGAAAUACCACUCUUCGCGCUCGUGCGUCCUCACCCGCAGGCCGCGGGGACGGUGGCUGGCGGGUAGUUUGACUGGGGCGGUCGCCUCCUAAACGGUAACGGAGGCGCGCAACGGUCCCCUCACGUGGGAUGGCCAUCCACGAGUGAGUGCAACGGCACAAGGGGGCUUGACUGCAAGGCCUACAGGCCGCGCAGGGACGAAAGUCGGCCGUAGUGAUCCCACAGUACCGCGUGGAAGGGCUGUGGCUUAACGGAUAAAAGCUACCCCGGGGAUAACAGGCUCAGACCUCCCAAGAGUUCAUAUCGACGGAGGAGCGUGGCACCUCGAUGUCGGCUCGUCGCAUCCUGGGGCUGGAGUAGGUCCCAAGGGUUGGGCUGUUCGCCCAUUAAAGCGGCACGCGAGCUGGGUUCAGAACGUCGUGAGACAGUUCG